GCAGGAUGAAGCCAAGCGGAUGAUGGUUGGGAAUGAGGCGAGGUAGGAACAGAAGGUCUGCUCAAUGGAUAUUUCUGGAAAGAUUGGCUAAGCAUCUUCAAAUUUGUGGACACCCACUGCACUAGAAUUAUGUGGGGCCAUAGCUUUGUCUGAUAAUCCAUUUAAGAGUAGCCAUGUCACACGUCAAUACCAAUAAGGUUCAAGGAGAAGUCUGUUGGGGAGCUUCUGGAAAAAAUUUUCUCCUGCUUGUAAGAAACAGAGAGAUGAAGAGAAGGUGGUGGCCUCCCUGGAUGCAUCUCCUGCUUCCUUCCUUUUCGUGUGCACGAAGUCAGUGUCUGCCUCCUUGCAACAAGCCUGAAGACAAGAGGCCAACAUGCAAUAAUGGUGGAAUGGAAGCAUACAGUGGAGCUUUCCAGAGGCUAACUGACUUUUGAUAUCACCACAGACUGAAGGGAGAAGCAGAGAAAAUCCAGCUGUCUUCUAUUAAGUCAGACAAGAAAGAGAUUUGCAAAAAUGUA